rnacentral:rRNA from 1 species
UACAGAGGGGGCAAGCGUUGUUCGGAAUUACUGGGCGUAAAGGGCGCGUAGGCGGCCCGCUAAGUCGAACGUGAAAUCCCCGAGCUCAACUCGGGAACUGCGUCCGAUACUGGCGGGCUUGAAUCCGGGAGAGGGAUGCGGAAUUCCAGGUGUUGCGGUGAAAUGCGUAGAUAUCUGGAGGAACACCGGUGGCGAAGGCGGGUUGCUGGGCCGACACUGACGCUGAGGCGCGAAAGCUAGGGGAGCGAACGGG